CAGUAGCCACGGUAAUACGAAGGGUGCAAGCGUUACUCGGAAUUACUGGGCGUAAAGCGUGCGUAGGUGGUGGUUUAAGUCUGUUGUGAAAUCCCCGGGCUCAACCUGGGAAUUGCAGUGGAUACUGGGUCACUAGAGUGUGGUAGAGGAUAGUGGAAUUUCCUGUGUAGCAGUGAAAUGCGUAGAGAUCGGAAGGAACAUCUGUGGCGAAGGCGACUAUCUGGGCCAACACUGACACUGAGGCACGAAAGCGUGGGGAGCAAACAGGAUUAGAUACCCCAGUAGUCCCUGUCUCUUAUAC
rnacentral:rRNA from 1 species